rnacentral:rRNA from 1 species
GAUGAACGCUGGCGGCGUGCCUAAUAAAUGCAAGUCGAGCGAAGCGGGGACGGGUGAGUAACACGUGGAUAACCUCCUAUAAGACUGGGAUAACGUCGUGAAACCGGAGCUAAAACGGAUACUUAUAGAUGAAUCUUCUUGGCAUUAGAUAGUUUGUAAGGUAACGGCUUACCAAGUCAACGAUGCAUAGCCGACCUGAGAGGGUGAUUGGCAACACUGGAACUGAGACACGGUCCAGACUCCUACGGGAGGAAGCAGUAGGGAAUCUUCCGCAAUGGGCGAAAGCCUGACGGAGCAACGCCGCGUGAGUGAUGAAGGUCUUCGGAUCGUAAAACUCUGUUAUUAGGGAAGCGGUACCUAAUCAGAAAGCAACGGCUAACUACGUGCCAGCAGCCGCGGUAAUUC